rnacentral:sRNA from 1 species
AGUCAUUGAUUCUUAAGUCGUUGAAGAGGACUUGGAACUCGAUGUUAUCCUCCG